GAUGAACGCUGGCGGCGUGCCUAAUACAUGCAAGUCGAGCGAACAGACGAGGAGCUUGCUCCUUUGACGUUAGCGGCGGACGGGUGAGUAACACGUGGAUAACCUACCUAUAAGACUGGGAUAACUUCGGGAAACCGGAGCUAAUACCGGAUAACAUGUUGAACCGCAUGGUUCAACAGUGAAAGACGGUCUUGCUGUCACUUAUAGAUGGAUCCGCGCCGCAUUAGCUAGUUGGUAAGGAAACGGCUUACCAAGGCAACGAUGCGUAGCCGACCUGAGAGGGUGAUCGGCCACACUGGAACUGAGACACGGUCCAGACUCCUACGGGAGGCAGCAGUAGGGAAUCUUCCGCAAUGGGCGAAAGCCUGACGGAGCAACGCCGCGUGAGUGAAGAAGGUCUUCGGAUCGUAAAACUCUGUUAUUAGGGAAGAACAAAUGUGUAAGUAACUAUGCACGUCUUGACGGUACCUAAUCAGAAAGCCACGGCUAACUACGUG
rnacentral:rRNA from 1 species